CCCUGUAGCUCAGAUGGUAAAGAAUCUGCCUGCAAUGCAGGAGACCCAGGUUCAAUCCCUGGGUCAGGAA
rnacentral:tRNA from 1 species